GCCGGGGUGGCGGAAUUGGCAGACGCCCGGGACUUAAAAUCCCGUGUCCCGAAAGGGGCGUGCGGGUUCGAUCCCCGCCCCCGGCACCA
rnacentral:tRNA from 1 species